UCAAAGACCCGAGCUAGAAUUUUUCUUCUCUAGGUUAGGGAACGGACUCCCUGGAAUUGGGUCAGCCAGAGAUGGGGAACGUUGUUUCCGAAAAGCACCGCGGUUUCUGUGGUGUCUCGUGCUCUUUGAACGGCCCUUAAAACACCAAGGGAGGCUAUUAAUUUGCACUCAAUCGUACCGAUAUCCGCAUUAGGUCUCCAAGGUGAACAGCCUCUAGUCGAUAGAAUAAUGUAGGUAAGGGAAGUCGGCAAACUAGAUCCGUAACUUCGGGAAAAGGAUUGGCUCCAGUGGUCGGAACGAUUGGCCAGUUGGUUGAUGCUUGUCCGGCGCUAUUCUGUCUGUUUGAUGCUUUCGGGCUGAUGGCGGACUAGUGAUAGUGCUUGCUGCCCUAACCCUGGGCCUUUUGGCGCAAAAUCCCUUGAGGGUAUUUUGAAAUUGUUUCCUGAUGAUUUGAAAAUUGACCUUUAUCUAAAAAUUUUCCACAUUCCAGAUAAUGUCAAACCGCUCCAUAACCCACGAUAUGCGAUACGAUCUACUUCGAAACUGGGCAUCUGA
rnacentral:ncRNA from 1 species